rnacentral:rRNA from 1 species
AACGAACGCUGGCGGCGUGCCUAACACAUGCAAGUCGAGCGCGAAAGUUCCUUCGGGAGCGAGUAGAGCGGCGGACGGGUGGGUAAUACAUAGGUAAUCUACCUUCGAGCUUGGGAUAACCCCGCGAAAGUGGGGCUAAUACCGGAUAAGACCACGUAAUUAUUUUACGGGGUAAAAAGUGGCUUAUUUUUUAAAUGAGCUAUCACUUGGGGAUGAGCCUGUGGCUUAUCAGCUAGUUGGCGGGGUAAGAGCCCACCAAGGCUAUGACGGGUAGCGGGUCGGAGAGGACGACCAGCCACACUGGGACGGAGACACGGCCCAGACUCCUACGGGAGGCAGCAGGGGGGAAUAUGGGGCAAUGGGCGAAAGCCUGACCCAGCGACGCCGCGUGGGCGAUGAAGGCCUUCGGGUUGUAAAGCCCUGUCAUGCGGAAAGAACGACCCUGAGACGCAUACUCUCAGGGAGUGACGGUACCGCAGGAGGAAGCACCGGCUAACUCCGUGCCAGCCGCCGCCGUAA